rnacentral:lncRNA from 10 species
CAGGCUGUGGCUUGCCUUUUCACUUCUUGUGUCCUGUUUAAGAAAUAUCUGCUAUCCCAAGAUAACACUAACAAAGUUGACCUUAGAAUUGGAGUGCCUGGGUUAGAACCCUGCUGGUACCACCUGCUUACGGCAUGCUUCUGAUGUGAGUUCAGGAGAAGACACUGGCAAGGACAGCAAAGAACAGGAGAACACUCUAGCUUCCCUGAUAGCAUUCAAGGUGCUGUCCAAGCUGACUGUGAUGGCACCCUCCAGACAGACAGCGAUGCCACAUGUUCAAGAUGGCAGAAUCACUAUCAGCUUCAAUUCCUGAAUGACUGCAGAGCAAAAUUUCUUACCUGCAACAUACACUCUAUUUUCAGCCUCC